rnacentral:rRNA from 1 species
GAUGAACGCUGGCGGCGUGCCUAAUACAUGCAAGUCGAGCGAAUGGAUUAAGAGCUUGCUCUUAUGAAGUUAGCGGCGGACGGGUGAGUAACACGUGGGUAACCUGCCCAUAAGACUGGGAUAACUCCGGGAAACCGGGGCUAAUACCGGAUAACAUUUUGAACCGCAUGGUUCGAAAUUGAAAGGCGGCUUCGGCUGUCACUUAUGGAUGGACCCGCGUCGCAUUAGCUAGUUGGUGAGGUAACGGCUCACCAAGGCAACGAUGCGUAGCCGACCUGAGAGGGUGAUCGGCCACACUGGGACUGAGACACGGCCCAGACUCCUACGGGAGGCAGCAGUAGGGAAUCGUCCGCAAUGGACGAAAGUCUGACGGAGCAACGCCGCGUGAGUGAUGAAGGCUUUCGGGUCGUAAAACUCUGUUGUUAGGGAAGAACAAGUGCUAGUUGAAUAAGCUGGCACCUUGACGGUACCUAACCAGAAAGCCACGGCUAACUACGUG